rnacentral:rRNA from 1 species
AAGGACUAUGAGUGGGGAAUUACUCGAAUCGGGUGCAACCAUCUGAGUCUUUGAACGCAAUUUGCGGCCGAAGCCAUUAGGCCGAGGGCAGGCCUGCCUGGGUGUCACACAUCGUUACCCCAAAUGCAAACGCCUCACGUGCGUGCGCAGGGUGGAUGCUGACCUCCCGCGAGCAUCGUCUCGUGGCUGGUUGAAAAUCGAGUCCGCGGCCGAGCUCGUCGCGACAAAAUGGUGGAUGAGCGAUGCUCGAGACCAGUCGCGCCGGACCCGGCCAAGGUCGGACUCCCCGACCCUACCGCGUCCCCGGGCGGCCCCAACGAGACCUCAGGGCAGGGGGGGCUACCCCGUUUAGUUUAAGCAUAUUAAUAAAGCGGGAGGAACCUC